rnacentral:rRNA from 1 species
AUUGAACGCUGGCGGAAUGCUUUACACAUGCAAGUCGAACGGCAGCACGGGGGCAGCCCUGGUGGCGAGUGGCGAACGGGUGAGUAAUACAUCGGAACGUGCCCGGUCGUGGGGGAUAACGUAGCGAAAGUUACGCUAAUACCGCAUACGAUCUGAGGAUGAAAGCGGGGGACCUUCGGGCCUCGCGCGAUCGGAGCGGCCGAUGUCAGAUUAGGUAGUUUGUGGGGUAAAGGCCUACCAAGCCGACGAUCUGUAGCUGGUCUGAGAGGACGACCAGCCACACUGGGACUGAGACACGGCCCAGACUCCUACGGGAGGCAGCAGUGGGGAAUUUUGGACAAUGGGCGCAAGCCUGAUCCAGCCAUUCCGCGUGCAGGACGAAGGCCUUCGGGUUGUAAACUGCUUUUGUACGGAACGAAAAGGCUCUGGCUAAUACCUGGGGCUCAUGACGGUACCGUAAGAAUAAGCACCGGCUAACUACGUG